AGUGAACGCUGGCGGCGUGCCUAAUACAUGCAAGUCGAACGGAGUGGCGCGCGGGGGGGUGAUGUAUAGCUAAUCAGCCCUCCAAUAGAGGACAACAGUUGGAAACAGCUGCUGAUACUCAAUAGUGGAGGUUGAGGCUAUACUGUAUCAGCUAGUUGGUGAGGUAGUGGCUCACCAAGGCUAUGACGCAUAACUGGUCUGAGAGGAUGAGCAGUGAGACCGAAACUGAGACAGCGUCCGGACUCCUUCGGCAGGCAGCAGUAGGGAAUAUUGCGCAAUGGGGGAAUGCCUGAAACAGCAACGCCGCGUGGAGGACUAUACUUGUCGGAGCAUAAACUCCUUUUGUUACGUAAGCGGUACCUAACGAAUAAGCACCGGCUAACUCCGUGCCAGCAGCCGCGGUAAUAC
rnacentral:rRNA from 1 species